GACGAACGCUGGCGGCGUGCUUAACACAUGCAAGUCGAACGGAAAGGCCCUGCUUUUGUGGGGUGCUCGAGUGGCGAACGGGUGAGUAACACGUGAGUAACCUGCCCUUGACUUUGGGAUAACUUCAGGAAACUGGGGCUAAUACCGGAUAGGAGCUCCUGCUGCAUGGUGGGGGUUGGAAAGUUUCGGCGGUUGGGGAUGGACUCGCGGCUUAUCAGCUUGCUGGUGGGGUAGUGGCUUACCAAGGCUUUGACGGGUAGCCGGCCUGAGAGGGUGACCGGCCACAUUGGGACUGAGAUACGGCCCAGACUCCUACGGGAGGCAACGGUGGGGAAUAUUGCACAAGGGGCGGAAGCCUGAUGCAGCAACGCCGCGUGCGGGAUGACGGCCUUCGGGUUGUAAACCGCUUUCGCCUGUGACGAAGCGUGAGUGACGGUAAUGGUUAAAGAAGCACCGCCUAACUACGU
rnacentral:rRNA from 1 species